UCACAUGGGUGUCUAUUACUCCCUCCGUUCCAUAAUUCUUGUCGAAAUAUUACAUGUAUCUAGACGCUUUUUAGGAAUAGAUACAUCCACUUUUGGGCAAAUUUGAGACAAGAAUUAUGGAACGGAGGUAGUAGCAGUGUAGCGAAUCUUGGAGAGAUGCGGCUUUUAGCAAUCGUCAUCUAAAAAUUGGAGAAUCUAUUCCAGGAUGUUCACAGACGCUCGGCACAGUGGCGGAUCUACAUGUAGGUCAGGGGGGGGGGGGGGGGGUUGCCGCCCCCCAGCCUGAAUUUUUUUGCUGGCUCUGCGCCAUUUGAUCAGGGGGAAGACGAAGGGAUGCAUGUGGGAGGAGGAAGAAAGGGGGAGUACAAUUAAUAACUAAAAUAAAGAAGACGAGGUUAUGUACCAAUUCAAUCAUUAUUUGUUUGCCGCUGGUGCCGUUGCAGAAGGCAACAGUCUCUGAUGUAGUGUCCGUCAACCUGGCUCUGCCUCUUCCCCUCUUAACUACCCACCUCUUUCACCAACUGAGGCCAAGGGAGCAUAUAGGAGGAGGUGGCUACUUGGGCGAAAGGUUGAGGUUUAGAGGCCGGAUAUCGUGACCGCUGCAAGAGUGAUAGAUGGUGAGUAGAUAGGCUCUGUAGUUGGACUGGGCCCUAAAAUGAACCUGGACUGAGAUAAUCACAUACCUUAUGCAAGCAAAUCAG